AUUAUAUCUUGUAUGUGGUUUAUUAUAAAAACUAUUUUAUAGUAUUUUCAGGAUACUUUUGCCCUCAGAUUCACUCCUUGGGUGCCACAGACAGUGCAGAAAGGGUUUGUGAUCCUUCCCAACCAAACUCUUCAUUUAUCCCUUGGAACUUAUUCAGGCAGUGAAAACUCUCAUUGACUCCUCUUCCCCAAAACCUUCAUUUACUUCCUUGCACUGGAGCUGUUCUUUAGACCAACAAACUUUUCUGGGUUUCUCUUGGGUUUUUUUUAAUCUUAAUUUCAGCCACAGAAACACAAUGUAAAUUGGGAGGGGGAGGGGAAUCUCUCCAAGACACGCACUGCAGAGCAUUUCUAUUUUUUUUUUUUUUUUUUUUUUUUUUUUCCCCUCUCAAUCCAAAUGUUUUGCCUCCAACAGCAUGUAUUUAAACAGACAAAGGCAGGGAUAUUUUCUGAGCUGCUGCCUGCCUCUCCCAGGCUCCCGGGCUGUGAUAUUGCAGCCCAUAUGUUCCACCACCUCACACUUGCAGCGCUGCAAACCCCCGUCUGUGCCUGGAGCCUGGGCACAGGCUGGGGGAGGAACCUGCCCCCAGCUGCCACAGAUUCCUUCCUAUACCUGAUGCUGCUCUGGGCGCUUUAUUCCCUGUUUUCCCCACCCCAAAAUACCAUUCCAGGUGUCAAAUUUUAGCACCCCCCAGGUUCUCAAGUGAAAACUUUGCCAGAGCGUUGCUGUGCUCCAUCUUUGAGCAAACAAAACACCCCCUCAACUGCUGGACUUUGAAACACCAUCCUCAGCCUCUGCCAGCUAAAAACCAAGACCAAAUACUCCAUCCAAAUCUUUCCCAGGAUUCCAAAAAAUCCCCUCACAGAGUCCAGCUGAGAAGUGCAGAUUCUACUGCACAAUUCCAAGAGCCUGACAGCUUCAAUUCAGGAUCCAAGCAUCUCCAUAGAGCAAUGGAGACUCAGGCCAGAUGUCAGCAGCUUCCUCCUUCCCAGAAGGAACAUUCAGAU
rnacentral:lncRNA from 12 species